rnacentral:rRNA from 1 species
CAGUCGCCCGGUAAAACGGAGGGUGCAAGCGUUAAUCGGAAUUACUGGGCGUAAAGCGCACGCAGGCGGUUUGUUAAGUCAGAUGUGAAAUCCCCGAGCUUAACUUGGGAACUGCAUUUGAAACUGGCAAGCUAGAGUCUUGUAGAGGGGGGUAGAAUUCCAGGUGUAGCGGUGAAAUGCGUAGAGAUCUGGAGGAAUACCGGUGGCGAAGGCGGCCCCCUGGACAAAGACUGACGCUCAGGUGCGAAAGCGUGGGGAGCAAACAGGAUUAGAUACCCGUGUAGUCCCUGUCUCUUAUACC